rnacentral:rRNA from 1 species
CAGUUCGGAUUGAAGGCUGAAAUUCGCCUUCAUGAAGCCGGAAUUGCUAGUAAUGGCAGGUCAGCAUACUGCCGUGAAUACGUUCCCGGGCCUUGUACACACCGCCCGUCACACCAUGAGAGUUGGGGAUACCCGAAGCCUGUGAGCUAACAGUAAUGAAGCAGCAGUCGAAGGUAGAAUCAAUGAUUGGGGUGAAGUCGUAACAAGGUACC